rnacentral:tRNA from 2 species
GGCGAGAUAGCUCAGCUGGCUAGAGCGUUCGGUUCAUACCCGAAAGGUCGUGGGUUCGAUCCCCUCUCUCGCUACCA